rnacentral:rRNA from 1 species
GAUGAACGCUGGCGGCGUGCCUAAUACAUGCAAGUCGAGCGAACAGACGAGGAGCUUGCUCCUCUGACGUUAGCGGCGGACGGGUGAGUAACACGUGGAUAACCUACCUAUAAGACUGGGAUAACUUCGGGAAACCGGAGCUAAUACCGGAUAAUAUAUUGAACCGCAUGGUUCAAUAGUGAAAGACGGUUUUGCUGUCACUUAUAGACGGAUCCGCGCCGCAUUAGCUAGUUGGUAAGGUAACGGCUUACCAAGGCAACGAUGCGUAGCCGACCUGAGAGGGUGAUCGGCCACACUGGAACUGAGACACGGUCCAGACUCCUACGGGAGGCAGCAGUAGGGAAUCUUCCGCAAUGGGCGAAAGCCUGACGGAGCAACGCCGCGUGAGUGAUGAAGGUCUUCGGAUCGUAAAACUCUGUUAUUAGGGAAGAACAAAUGUGUAAGUAACUAUGCACGUCUUGACGGUACCUAAUCAGAAAGCCACGGCUAACUACGUG